GACGAACGCUGGCGGCGUGCUUAACACAUGCAAGUCGAACGGUAAGGCCCUUCGGGGUACACGAGUGGCGAACGGGUGAGUAACACGUGGGUGAUCUGCCCUGCACUUCGGGAUAAGCCUGGGAAACUGGGUCUAAUACCGGAUAGGACCACUGCCGGCAUGGGUGGUGGUGGAAAGCUUUUGCGGUGUGGGAUGGGCCCGCGGCCUAUCAGCUUGUUGGUGGGGUGAUGGCCUACCAAGGCGACGACGGGUAGCCGGCCUGAGGGGGUGACCGGCCACACUGGGACUGAGAUACGGCCCAGACUCCUACGGGAGGCAGCAGUGGGGAAUAUUGCACAAUGGGCGCAAGCCUGAUGCAGCGACGCCGCGUGAGGGAUGACGGCCUUCGGGUUGUAAACCUCUUUCAGCACCGACGAAGCGCAAGUGACGGUAGGUGCAGAAGAAGGACCGGCCAACUACGUGCCAGCAGCCGCCGUAAUAC
rnacentral:rRNA from 1 species